GAUGAACGCUGGCGGCGUGCUUAACACAUGCAAGUCGAACGAAGAUGCCGGAGUGCUUGCACUUUGGCAGACUGAGUGGCGGACGGGUGAGUAACGCGUGGGUAACCUGCCUUAUACAGGGGGAUAACAGUUGGAAACGACUGCUAAUACCGCAUAAGCGCACGGUAUCGCAUGAUACAGUGUGAAAAACUCCGGUGGUAUAAGAUGGACCCGCGUCUGAUUAGCUUGUUGGUGAGGUAACGGCCCACCAAGGCGACGAUCAGUAGCCGGCCUGAGAGGGUGAACGGCCACAUUGGGACUGAGACACGGUCCAGACUCCUACGGGAGGCAGCA
rnacentral:rRNA from 1 species